UCACGCCACACUCCAUGCCAUAUGGCCCGG
rnacentral:sRNA from 1 species